rnacentral:rRNA from 1 species
GACGAACCGUGCGAACGUUAUUCGGAAUCACUGGGCUUAAAGCGCGUGUAGGCGGGACGGCACGUCUGUCGCUGAAAUCCCCCGGCUUAACCGGGGAACUGGCGUAGAUACGACCGUCCUGGAGGGGCGUAGGGGGAUCUGGAACUUCCGGUGGAGCGGUGGAAUGCGUUGAGAUCGGAAGGAACGCCCGUGGCGAAAGCGAGGUCCUGGACGCCUACUGACGCUGAGACGCGAAAGCCAGGGGAGCGAACGGG